AUUCAUUGGGUUUAAAGGGUGCGUAGGCGGAAUGAUAAGUCAGUGGUGAAAUCCUACAGCUUAACUGUAGAACUGCCAUUGAUACUAUCGUUCUUGAGUACAUUUGAAGUGGGCGGAAUGUGUCAUGUAGCGGUGAAAUGCUUAGAUAUGACACAGAACACCGAUCGCGAAGGCAGCUCACUAAGUUGUAACUGACGCUCAGGCACGAAAGCGUGGGGAUCAAACAGGAUUAGAUACCCUGGUAGUCCACGCCGUAAACGAUGAUUACUCGAUGUUGGCGAUACACUGUCAGCGUCUAAGCGAAAGCAUUAAGUAAUCCACCUGGGGAGUACGGCCGCAAGGUUGAAACUCAAAGGAAUUGACGGGGGCCCGCACAAGCGGAGGAGCAUGUGGUUUAAUUCGAUGAUACGCGAGGAACCUUACCUGGGCUAGAACGCAAGAUGGCAGUCCGAGAAAUCGGAUCUUCCUUAGGGACAUUUUGCGAGGUGCUGCAUGGUUGUCGUCAGCUCGUGCCGUGAGGUGUCGGGUUAAGUCCCAUAACGAGCGCAACCCCUAUCAUUAGUUGCCAUCAGGUCAUGCUGGGGACUCUAGUGAAACUGCCUACGCAAGUGGUGAGGAAGGUGGGGAUGACGUCAAAUCAGCACGGCCCUUACGUCCAGGGCUACACACGUGCUACAAUGGCCGGUACAGAGGGUCGCUACCUGGUGACAGGAUGCCAAUCUCAAAAACCGGUCUCAGUUCGGAUCGAAGUCUGCAACUCGACUUCGUGAAGUUGGAUUCGCUAGUAAUCGUAUAUCAGCAAUGAUACGGUGAAUACGUUCCCGGGCCUUGUACACACCGCCCGUCAAGCCAUGGGAGCUGGGGGUACCUAAAGUUCGUGACCGCAAGGAGCGACCUAGGGUAAAACCAGUGACUGGGGCU
rnacentral:rRNA from 1 species